UCCCAAAUAGUUCACUGUCUCAGGCCCUCUCCAGUCCAAGCUGCUGGCUCAGUCCUGCUACCAUGGAGCUCACCACCUCAGGCCUGCUCCAGCCUAGGUUGCUGGCCCAGUCUGGCUUCUGCAAAUGUCCCUGGUCUGGAUCCUCUCCUACUCCUGUGGAGUUAACCGUCCCAGCCUGUUCCAGCCCAGGUCACUGGUCUUCCUAUUCUUGUGGAGUUCACUGCCUCAGGCCUUCUCUGGCCUAGGUCACUGGCUCAGUCCUUGGUCCUACUUUUAAUAACUGUUAGCAGUCUUAGCUCCACUUCUUACUGUUCACAGCCUGAAUCCCAGGAACAGCUGCUAUUUGGUGACCUCAUGUAGGCUAUCCAACAGUGUUCUCCCAAGCCCACUCAUCCCAAAGUCUCUUGUGAUGUCCUUGUCUUACUGUGACCAGGCCACCUUAAAUCUCUAUUAUUUGUCCAAGAAGCCACAUCCAGUGUUCUGGAAUAGGUAGAGUGUCUUAGUCCAUUUUCUGUUAUUAUAACAAGGCAUCUUCAUUAAAAAGAAGAAAUCUAGUUAAUUUACCAUUCUAGUAGCUAGAGAAUCCAAAUAGCAUGGACCCUGACCCUAGCAAGAGGCUUCUCUCUGCUCACAACACGGCAAAGAAGCAGAAAGGGAGCUGGCUACAUGCAGAAGGGUUCAACUGUGUAGUGUGGCCUUGCUUUAUAGUAAUUUACUAUAAUUUAUAAUAAUAAUUUAUAAUAAUUUAUCACAGGAACCGCCCAAGAUUGCUGAGCACUCCUGGCUCACAGGCCUUUGGACUCAGACUGAAUUCUUCCAUUGUUCUUCAGUUUUGCAAACAGUAAAUCUUGGGAAUCUCAGCCUCCAUGGCCACAGAAUUCUAUUAUCAUGACAAGACUCCAUGUAUGUGGGGAAAGAAAACAUCCUGUACAUUUGUACAUAUUGUUCGUGACCACAGAGAAAUCUGGAAGGAUGAAUUCCAUCUGGCUGAUGGUAUGGGAUGGACAGCAUUUCUGUAGCCCUCAAGCCCGGUGUCCUAGGAUGGCAUCAGGGUCAUGCACUCAAGGGAUGCAGCAGUGGCUGAGGUACCUUCUAAAUGUCCAGCGGCCACGAGAUCCAGGAUGCCAGUGAUCUCAUUGAAGAGGUGGGGCAGGGAAAGCCAGAGUGCGUUCUUGGCCAGAAAGAUUUCAAAGUGAACCCCCAGAGAACGUGCAGCUGAGAAGUUAAGGAAGAAAAACCUGAAAUGUGUUCACAGCAGCCUGAAGCAAUUUAAGCGAGAAGGGGAGGGGGCUUGCCUGAGAGCUAGGCAUGGAAAUUAUUUCCCCCUUUAAUGCAGAUGGAUGAAAAUGAGAAAGCUGCAGUCCCACGAGGAAAUCCAGCCGAACGGAAGGGUCUCUGAGCAUGCCCAGCAAGUAGACAUUAUCUCCCCAGCAAACAGAUGUGCCUGGAGGUGUGUACAAACGACUCAGAAGGGGCGGAAGAAGUGCAGGGUAACGCUGAUGCCUUCCCCUCUGACUUUCAGCUCCUCCACUUGCCAGUCUCCGCUGCAUGCAAAGUCCUUCUGUGCACGUCUAAGUUAGCACACCCGUAGGUACAGUUCAGUGCAAAUGGCACACAGUGCUAUGCACCUGGCUUUCUACAAAUUAGGAUCUUCUUUCCUGGGAUGAACUCUAAUUUAUUAAGCCAGGUCCCUACCGGGGAUCACUGGACUGCGUCCAGUGGUCUGCUCUAAUGUACAAGUCAUGAAAGCCAAUGCUAAUGUCAGUAUCUGGGAUAUAUUUCCAAGGCCCCUUUACAUCACUGAGCUGAGGCUAGAAUAUAGGGCAUGCUUGUCAUGAUCAGUUUUCUAGGUCUAGAAAAUGCCUGGAGGAAAAUAGGAAAUGUGCUCGGUGUUCCCUAAAGCAGAGCAUUGGCCUUUCCGUUCUGGGAACAGGAUUGCAGGUGAUCCAGGGCCCUCCAAGCCUCCACCUGGAGAGGUGACAUCCAAAGAUGCCUUCACUUGAAGGAAAGAUGAUUGAUUUAUCUUCACCAAACAAAGCAAACACCAUUCUUCCUUCUCCACAAAUGAUUUAGGAACUUAAAAUUGAACCCUUGGAAAGCAUCCAUCACAAAGAGGCUAAAACCAGCAUGACUGCAGAACUCGGAGUGGCAAUCCCAGCGGGACACACCGAGAGCUGGACCACCACCAUGGCUGGAAAUCUGAGUGGGUGUCAGAGAGGAGAUGUGAACUCCUGUAACACGCAGAACUGCUAAAAAUUCCUGGGACAUUUCCUUCCCCAAUAAGCUAUCACACAGCAAAGCUGUCUCUGACAGGGCUGAAGUCCCGUGG